UGACAAAAAUGCAAUGACUCUUUGUUGACUAAAACUAUGAAAGACUCAAAUGACUAAAAUGUGACUAAGACUAUUAAGCAUUUUCGUAUCAAGAUAAAGACUAAGACUAAAUCAAAAAGCCUGCUAAAAUUAACACUGUUUCCAAGUUUCAAGCAGAAAAGAACAUACACAUUUUUUUUUCAACAAUUCUGUUGAUUGACAGUGGAGUGAUUGGCAAUGUCAUCCACAUUCAACAUCUGGAACCGGUAGGAUGUGUUUAAUGUGUUUGCGGUGUGCGUGCAAUGCAUGUCUCUCUGUGUUGUGUCAGCGCUGUCUUCUCUAUUAGGUGGGGUUCUAUCAUUUUGCUCACUCCUUUGUCAGAGGAAACUGGAGAAACGAGGCGGAAAGCUCUUUUGCUCUGUUAGGCUUAUGCUGACAUGAUUUGGAUCUGAUUCAUGACUAGGCUGGUGGACGAAGGUAGUGAACAUGGAAUUUGUAAUUUUACAGAGAAAAUAUGAUUACGCAAAACAUCUAUCCAUGGUAGUAGUAAGUUGGGACAUCAUGUUCAUUUGUGUCAACAUUUCAGCUCUUUCAUGACCGUAAAGGGGUUUAUCAUCUAUUUGCUCAUUCUCUCACAAGGGGGAACUGUCCUACAAUGGAUAUGAGAUCAAAGUGUUCGACUUCCUUACUAGAAAGACCAUAAAAAAACACCAUAGAUAUGAGUGAUCUAGGUAACAUUAGUAAAGGCUGUCAUGGCUCUGCAGAUUAUCACAUUAUCAACUCCUUCUGUGCAGCUGUGAAGGUGAGACGAUGGAUCUGGAAGAUGGUUUUCUCUAUUUGUUGAAUAAUCUGAGUAAUUUCAUCACUCCCACUUCUCUUUUCCUUAAUAUAGCAUAAGGACCCAACCCUGAUUAGGUCUAGUCCUAAAGAGACAUUAGCCAGUUAUAAACUAGUGUUUGCAGCUGAACAUUCCUGGUUGUUUUCUGUGGGGACCCACAGAAUGGAGAAAGCAGAUGAAUAAAAAAAAUGAACUUGUGUAUGAAUUAACUGGCUCUCACUAUGAAUAUAGCCCUAGAUGCUGGAAUGACAAAGAAAGUAAAAAAGUAAAUCAUGUCUUUUUUUUAUUCAGAUUGAUCAAUUAUAAAACAGUAAAUAUUCAAUCACAUUUCUUACCCAUGUAAUCAAAUGAAUUAUGUGGAAUUAUUAAUUAUCUCAAUAAAAUCAUCAUAUUAUGGAUCUUUUGUUUAGGUUUAAAUAUAUAUAUAUUUUUAAUUUAUUUUAGCAGCCAUCUAGACUUUGAGAAGAAAUUAUGUAUUUUACUGAAUCAAUGGCAAUUAACAUUGCAUCACUUGAGGUAUCCUCUGCAGUGAAUGGGUGCCGUCAGAAUGAGAGUCCAAAGAGCAGAUAAAAACAUCACAGUAAUCCACAUGACUCCAGCUGACCAGUUAACAUCCAGUGACUCGAAAACCUGCAUGUUUGUUAAAAAAAAAAAAAAAAUCAUAAAACUGUUUUAACUUUAAAUGGUCACUUCUGGCCAAAAUACUAGUCUAUAACCCAUAAUAACACUUCCUCCAGUGAAAAAGUCCAUCCACUGCUGUCAUUUUUUCACUGAAGAAAACUAUGGAUAAAGGACUUGUUUUUUAGCAACAGAAGCAAUGGUUUAAAUUAAAAUGCCUUUUUUGGGUGAACUAUUCCUUUAAGUA